GCUUUUUAAGGACGGCUUUCCUACUGGAAAUUGCGCCCUAUAUGUUCCUAAUGUUUUUUUUUCAACAACAAAAAAAAAAAAGAAUUUACUUAAUGUUUUUUUUUUUUUUUUUUAUGACUUUUGUUGUGAAUUUUACAAGAACCUAGUGUGUCGCUCAUUUGUUGUUUUUAAUCAGAUGUUACUUAUUUGCUUAUGAAAUAUACGACUUAAGUUUUGAUCAGUUGCCCCAGCCAGUGGUCCCGUGAGAAUCGUGUAUACGCACUAUCCCACGGAGGUACUAACCAUGGUAGUGUAGGUUAAUUGCAAACUGGAACCAGACAUUGACCUGUUCUCUGUCUGGUGAUCAGUCAGGCAGAGGACAUGCCACUGUCUAGAUUCCGAAAUGCAAAAAACUGUUUCAUGAUAUACCCCCCCCCAAAAAAAAGCCAAAUUGUAUAUAUAUGUAUAUAUAUAUAUAUAAAGAAAAAUAAAUUAACUUAUUUCUAUAAUAAAAUACGGGACUUUAUACUUUUAUAUUAAUUUACUAGGAUGCUCAAGGAUUCCAGUUUGAAUUGUACUUGCUUGUUUUUCCCGUAAGUACAUUCGAUGUACUUGUGCUGACGCCAUUGUUAAACAAGCUACAUACACGACAAUCUGGUUAAAUAUUUAACAUAAUUUCAUACCCUGUAUAUCACGACUACCAUGUCAGGGGGUGACCACUGGUUGGCACCGCUAAUCUACUUGUCUAUAUGUUGUGUCGAUGACUUAACAUGAAUUAAUACUUGAAUAUUAAAAAAAAAGUGUAAUAAAUUUAGCAGCU
rnacentral:lncRNA from 1 species